CCUACGGGUGGCAGCAGUGGGGAAUAUUGGACAAUGGGGGCAACCCUGAUCCAGCCAUGCCGCGUGUGUGAAGAAGGCCCUCGGGUUGUAAAGCACUUUCAGUGAGGAAGAACGCCUGGUGGUUAAUACCCAUCAGGAAAGACAUCACUCACAGAAGAAGCACCGGCUAACUCCGUGCCAGCAGCCGCGGUAAUACGGAGGGUGCGAGCGUUAAUCGGAAUUACUGGGCGUAAAGCGCGCGUAGGUGGCUUGAUAAGCCGGUUGUGAAAGCCCCGGGCUCAACCUGGGAACGGCAUCCGGAACUGUCAAGCUAGAGUGCAGGAGAGGAAGGUAGAAUUCCCGGUGUAGCGGUGAAAUGCGUAGAGUUCGGGAGGAAUACCAGUGGCGAAGGCGGCCUUCUGGACUGACACUGACACUGAGGUGCGAAAGCGUGGGUAGCAACCAGGAUUAGAUACCCCAGUAGUC
rnacentral:rRNA from 1 species